AGCAGCCGCGGUAAUUCCAGCUCCAAUAGCGUAUAUUAAAGUUGUUGCAGUUAAAAAGCUCGUAGUUGAAUUUCGGGGUCAGUAGGUUGGUCAUGCCUUCGGUAUGUACUGGUCUCACUGAUUCCUCCUUCUUGAAGAUCCGUAAUGUCAUUAAUUUGGUGUUGCGGGGAAUCAGGACUGUUACUUUGAAAAAUUAGAGUGUUUAAAGCAGGCUUACGCUUGAAUACAUUAGCAUGGAAUAAUGAAAUAGGACGUUUGAUCCUAUUUUGUUGGUUUCUAGGAUUGACGUAAUGAUUAAUAGGGAUAGUUGGGGGCAUUAGUAUUCAAUUGUCAGUGGUGAAAUUCUUGGAUUUAUUGAAGACUAACUACUGCGAAAGCAUUUGCCAAGGAUGUUUUCAUUAAUCAAGAACGAAAGUUAGGGGAUCGAAGACGAUCAGAUACCGUCGUAGU
rnacentral:rRNA from 1 species